GGUGAGGUGGCCGAGUGGUCUAAGGCGCUGUGUUUAGGCUCUUCAAACAGCUUGAAACCGCAGUCUUCACGGGCGUGGGUUCGAAUCCCACCCUCAUCA